AGAACGAACGCUGGCGGCAUGCCUAAUACAUGCAAGUCGAACGAACACUUCGGUGUUAGUGGCGCACGGGUGCGUAACGCGUGGGAAUCUGCCCUUGGUUCGGAAUAACAGUUGGAAACGACUGCUAAUACCGGAUGAUAUCGAAAGAUCAAAGAUUUAUCGCCCAGGGAUGAGCCCGCGUAGGAUUAGCUAGUUGGUGAGGUAAAGGCUCACCAAGGCGACGAUCCUUAGCUGGUCUGAGAGGAUGAUCAGCCACA
rnacentral:rRNA from 1 species